rnacentral:snRNA from 3 species
AGCUGCGUGGUGAGCACAAAGCGAACUAUUCUUUCGCCUUUUACUAAAGAAUACCGUGUGCAUGCCACACUAAGCAGCAUAUGCUAAUAUUUUGAGGGUGCUUUCUCAAAUUU